rnacentral:rRNA from 1 species
UACGUAGGGUGCGAGCGUUAAUCGGAAUUACUGGGCGUAAAGCGUGCGUAGGCGGUUCGUUAAGUGCGUCGUGAAAGCCCCGGGCUCAACCUGGGAAUGGCGAUGGAAACUGGCGGGCUGGAGUAUGGCAGAGGGGGGUGGAAUUCCGCGUGUAGCAGUGAAAUGCGUAGAGAUCCGGAGGAACACCAGUGGCGAAGGCGACACGCUGGGCCGUACCUGACACUGAUACGCGACAGCAUGGGGAGCGAACGGG